AUCCCAGACAAACUCUUUUUUGUGGUUUUCUGAUUCAUGGGAGGCAGAUAUUAAUUGGUUAUUCGCUGAUAGCAUAUCUUCUCUCAGAAAGGAUAUGCUUCUAGUACAUAACCACAAAUUU